UAGCACUUCUUCUUUGCACUGCUAUAAACGUAAACUCGUCGAAGUACCCUUCGUGAACAAGAAAUGAGUGUCUGUUCAGUGGAUUUCAGGAUAAUAACUGCAGAAAGUCCAGCAACACUCCCCAACACACCACAUGACUGUUAAAAGCUGGCAUGGUUUCACCUCUAAAACCAUCUACCCUGAUCAGUCUGACCAACUGGAACCAACCUGAAAGUGACCAAAAUCUUCUAAAACCAUCUAACCAGAUCAGUCUGACAAACUGGAACCAGCCUGGAAGCAAAAAGGAAAGAGAGGCUGGUGGCAAAAUUUUCAACAAUGAAUGGGCCAGUACAAACACAGCUGUUUUAUUGUUGUGCUGUUAAGAUGUGCCUUUCAAAGGCACGCUGAUGAAAUCAAACAGAAGGGGAGCGCUACACGGUUCUGCUUGUCAUUGUGGCACAGAAUGGGGAGCGACCCUGCCUCCUGUUCAGUGGAGUCACUGGAGUGCUUAGGCAGCUAAAGUGUCUCUUUGUAUCAGCUUGUAAAUUACAGCAGUGGCUGCUUUGCUUCUUUCAACCUCCUGGUGCAGUUGCCACACACCGUUUUUUUUUUUUUUUUUUCAACUAACCAAACUCCCCUUUUUAUUCGUGAGGCUUUUCUUUUUUAAAGUUGCAGUAAUCAGUUUUAUUUUAUUUCUUACCUUUAUAAUUAACCUGGAUAAUAUGUAGAACAUGAUAACAAGAAAAUAAUAGUUUAAGCAAUGGCCUCAGGACAGAUGUACUAGGUGGCUGAGAAAACCCGUUUGGAAAACUGAAUUACGAUCCAGAGUGCUUGUUUGUGUUUGGAUGGGUCUCUUGUGAGUCAUUUUGUAGUCAUUUUCUAAAUUUUAUAUGGUACAUAAAUUGUAAACAGAGCUACAUUUUCUUUGUUUCGCUCAGAGAUGACAGGGAGUACAAGCAUUGCACUCAACUAUAGAUUUUUUUCGUUUAAUCCGUAUUACUAUAUGAUGAAAUAUUUAGAAUACUUUAAAUGAUAAACACAUUAUCCACACUAAAUCGAAUACUUAUUCAAGAUGGAUUUAUGUCUAGUGCAUGUAAAUCAAGCUAAAAAAAAACAUAUUAUAUAUAUUAUAUUAUAUUAUAUAUUAAUAUAUUAAUUUGGUUUCCGGUAGAGAUACUAUGCAGAUGUUUUAUUCUGCCAUCAUCUCAUCCCCAGCUGAGGAGAGUACAAAACUAGUUAUUGUGGUGAGGAGGGCCCCAAAUUGAAAUCUUUCACAUAUCAUUAAUGCAGAACAUGCACAAUUUGUCAACCCCCUGUACCCUGUCCAUUAGGAUAACCAUAGGAUCAUUGUUGACCAGAUAUUAUAUGGGUGCUAUACAAUUUAAGCACAGCAGUGACACUGACAUGGCCGUGGUGUGUUACUGGGCAUUGCACUGGUAUGAGUGUAGCAGGCACAGUGGUAUUGCUGGUGUUUCAACCCAUUAAACUCUGGAUUAUCAUUCAGCUAUUCAACUUAAUGGAUAUCUACUAUAAUUUAUUAUAAGUAACUACUACAGUUGCAAUUAAUAGGAAAAGGUAUGAACAUACCUUUAUAUAAAAAGUUUACAUGCCCCUGUAAAAUUGUAGGCUUUUCUGAGCUAAAUCAUGUCUAAUCAUUUUCCAACUUUAUUGGGAUAUUUUGGGAAAAAAUAAAUAGAAAAAAAACUUACAAUAACCUGGUUGCACAAGUGUGCACCCCCAAUACUUUGUUAAAACGCCUUUUGCUUUUGUAAUACAGUCUUUUUGGGUAAGAGUCCACUCAUUUAGCACACUUGGCAAUUUAAUUCCUUUGUCAUUCCACAAGUUUUUGAUUGCAUUUAGAUCUGGUCUGAUUGGGCCAUUCCAAAACCUUGAUCAUUUUCUUCUGAAGCCAUUCCUUUGUUGACUUCCUUUCGGUAUUUUACUGGAAGGUGAAAAUUUUCUUCAUCUUUUAGCUGUAUAAAAAAGAUGUGGAGGUUUUUUGCCUGAAUAGGCUGGAGCUAUCCAUGAUUUCCUCCAUCUUGACUAGAGCCACAGUCACAGCUGAAGAGAAGCAGCCCAAUAGCGUGAUGCUGCCAACACCAUGCUUCUCCGUCAGUAUGGUGUUCUUUGGGUGAUAAACUGCCUUGUUUUUAUGCAUAUCUUUUAAAAUUGUGCCCAAAAGUUCUAUUCAUCUGACCAUAACACAUUUUGCCACAUGUUUUUUUUUAAAGUGAUUUAGGCAGCUUGGUUGUUUAUUUGCAUGAGAAAGGGCUUCCGUCUAGCCACUCUACCCCAUAGCUCAGAUAUGUGAAGAAUACAAAAGACUGUUGUUACAAGCAGAGUGACCAGUACAUGCCAGAUAUUCCUGCAGAUCCUUUAAUGUUGCUGUAGAUCUCUUGGCAUCCUCCCUGUUAAGUUUCUUUCUUGUCCUGUUGUCACUUUGGAGGGAUGUCGUGUUCAUGAUAAUGUCACCAUUUUUCAUUUGCUCCACUUCUUGAUGAUGGCCUUCAUGCUGUUGCAUGGUACAUUUCAUUUUGAAAUACUUUUGUACCCCUCUCUUGAUCAAUACAUGCUUACAACUCUUUGCGGACCGUGACAUCAGCAGUCAGAUGAAACCAAGAAGGUGUUAAAAAAUCGUACAGAAACAGCUGAUCUUUAUUUGUGGUUAAUCAGAAUCACUUCAGUGAUGACAGGUGCUUGAUAAUAACUUUUGAACAUGACCUUGAAUGUGAUUGAUUCAUUUUGAGCACAGCUACAUGCCCAAAUACAAAAGGGUGUGCACACUUGUGCAACCAGGUUAGUGUAAGUUUUUUUCUUUUCUUUUUUUCCCCCAAAACGUUUUAUUUGUUUUUCACUUGAAUUUUGUUCGUUUUUAUAUGACAUUAAAGGUGCAAAAAAGAUGUGAAAUGAUUUAUCUUGGUUUCAUUUGUAAGUCAUAUAAACCUGCAAUUUUAAAAGACAAUUGUGGCAUAAAACUAGAAUUUAAUAUAAUAAUAUUUAUUUGUCAUGGUAUGUAGUAUUCUGUUGCAUGUUUAGCUAAGUAAAUUUGUUUAGCUUAAAAAAGAAUUUAUAGCAUAUGGCUGGGCAGCACCUCAGCCUUCAGUGUAACAAUAUCUCCGAUGUUGUAAUUGUAAAACAAAAUGUAACGUGUCCACAAACAACAAAGUUGUAAACAGAAGACUUGUAUGCCUUAUAAAAGCUCGGAGGUACUAUAACAUGUGUAUAUACACCAGAGUUUCCUUUAGCCAGUAAAUACUGGUUUCUGACGAUUAAACAUUCCCAAUGUCUGAUAAAAUCAAAAAUUUUGGGCACAAUGUCCAGUAAAAAUGAAGCGGACAUACAUUAGACAUAGUACGUUUGGAAUUGUACACCUAAAUAAGGUCUCUGUCUGCACAAUUUUUUUCACAUGCUUCUCCUGUAACGUGUACUCUGAUUGACUUGCUAUUACAUCCUUGAUACUUACGUAGUUUGUAUGUGUGUGCAUGCAUGGUACGUAGCUAAAACAUUAAAAGACAAGCUAGCAUGCAGUAGAGCAACAACCAAAUAUAUCUCAGCAAACAACUCUCAGUCAUUUUCGAAAUUCUAACCAGGCAGUUGGUAAACGUCGGGAUGAGGAGCAUUAUGUAGUCCAUUAUGUAGGAUAUGAGACUGUUGAUGGAGAGAGAAAAAUGUUCUGCUCACACUGUGAAAGUUGGGGAUGAAAGAAUGAUUUCACUAUUCACGGUUUGUUAUUAUUAUAUCACAUGUACUGCGCAUAGUCCAAAAUGUUACAGUGCAAAAUAAACACCGAAAUGAGAUGACCGGAUUUUGGUAAUUUUUGGUAAACGUUAUCAUUCCUGGACACGUUGGUCGGCACCAAAAUUUCUUUGUGGAAACUCUGGUAUAUACACUCACAGUCUUUCAUCAACAAGCUGUUUCAACCUGCAGACCAUCCGCACACAGGAUGUUUUUUGUUUUUCGCACCAUUCUGUGUCUAGAGACCAUUGUGUAUGAAAUUCUCAUGAGACCAGCAGUUUCUGAAAUACUCAAACCAGCCCAUCUGGCACCAACAAACAUGCCAUGGUUAAGCUCACAGAGAUUACAUUUCUUUCCCCAUUCUGAUGUUUGAUGGACAUUACCUGAAGCUCUUGACCUGUAUCUGCAUGGUUUUAUGCAUUGUACUGCUGCCACAUGAUUGGCUGAUUGGAUAACUGCAUAAAUGAGCAGGUGUACAGAUGUUCCUAUUAAAGUGGACAGUGAGUGUAUAUAUCCGGGCAUUGAAAGCUAGGUCACCUCUUAGCAUUAUGUAGCAACUGACAGGAUGCCAAGCCAUAAGAAUCUUCUAGAGUUAGUUUAGCUGAAUAGCAUUCCUUGUCUUUUAGUGGUAACCCAUAAUUUUAAGUGGAUAACAUUUAACUAACUAAUUUAGCUAACAUCAAUCGAAUUCCUAUAUAAAAUUCUUGAUAGUUACUUUAGUCAGAUUAUAAACAAGUAACUCAAUAGCUAGGCGAAUCAUGUCUUUUUUCCAACUAGGUUGCGCUUGCAUUUCUUUAUGUUUACAACCAAACAAAUGCGUAAGAAAACUAGUUUAAUGUCCGCUAGCAAAUACUUGUAAACACACAUGUAACUACUAGUAACAUGGCUAGUAUGGUUAACACAAAGGUAACACAGAGGACAUCAGUUAUUUGGCUCAGAGUAAUUUUGAAAAAUGUGCAAUUGCUCUCUGUCUGCCUCCUGUUUCUCUUCUUGCUGACGUAGUUCUUCUUCUGUAUAUUCUGGCUCAAACAUGUAUUCGUGUCCGUGAAUAUACUAUUAUCUAGUGAGGACCACCACUCUGAUUUGUGACAAGAGAGAAACACACACAAGUAAAAUGCACAAAGUUUAAUAAUAAGAAAUGUAAAGGUAUGCAUCAAUAUAAUACAAAAUAUGUAUCUGCCAAUGGAAAAUCUGUACAAAUGUAGUGAAAAUAAUUGAUUGACAAUUGGAUAAUGAGUGGAAUAAAGCUUAAUGACAGACAAGCACAGAAAGUGUAGGCAGCUAUUUGGAUCUUAUUAUGUGAAGUGGGCAAAAGAGUUGAUCUACUUAACAAAGUAAUUAUAGCUAAACUACCAUGCCAAUACUGAAGAAGGUAUUGAAGAAGGAAGCAUGCAAGUUACACAUAAAGUCAAAGCAUAGUUACGAUU